rnacentral:rRNA from 1 species
AGAGCGAACGCUGGCGGCAGGCUUAACACAUGCAAGUCGAGCGGGCGUAGUAAUACGUCAGCGGCAGACGGGUGAGUAACGCGUGGGAACGUACCUUUUGGUUCGGAACAACACAGGGAAACUUGUGCUAAUACCGGAUAAGCCCUUACGGGGAAAGAUUUAUCGCCGAAAGAUCGGCCCGCGUCUGAUUAGCUAGUUGGUGAGGUAACGGCUCACCAAGGCGACGAUCAGUAGCUGGUCUGAGAGGAUGAUCAGCCACAUUGGGACUGAGACACGGCCCAAACUCCUACGGGAGGCAGCAGUGGGGAAUAUUGGACAAUGGGCGCAAGCCUGAUCCAGCCAUGCCGCGUGAGUGAUGAAGGCCCUAGGGUUGUAAAGCUCUUUUGUGCGGGAAGAUAAUGACGGUACCGCAAGAAUAAGCCCGGCUAACUUCGCGCCAGCAGCCGC